AUUGAACGCUGGCGGCAUGCUUUACACAUGCAAGUCGAACGAGUGGCGAACGGGUGAGUAAUAUAUCGGAACGUACCGAGUAAUGGGGGAUAACCAAUCGAAAGAUUGGCUAAUACCGCAUAUUCUUCUACGGGCCGAGAACUGAUUAGCUCGUGGGUGGGGUAAGGGCCUACCAAGGCGACGAUCAGUAGCGGGUCUGAGAGGACGAUCCGCCACACUGGGACUGAGACACGGCCCAGACUCCUACGGGAGGCAGCAGUGGGGAAUUUUGGACAAUGGGGGCAACCCUGAUCCAGCCAUGCCGCGUGUAUGAAGAAGGCCUUCGGGUUGUAAAGUACUUUUGUUAGGGAAGCGGUACCUAAAGAAUAAGCACCGGCUAACUACGUGCCAGCAGCCGCGGUAAUAC
rnacentral:rRNA from 1 species